ACUAAACUCUAAGAUGCACUACUAUUCAUGAUAUUGGAUAUAUGUCACUGGAGUUUGGGGAAGUUGAAACCGUGCCACUCCGACGCGUUUUCCGUCAGACCCCUAGACAUGAGACCCCACAUGUCAGUUUCAUCCUCCCUCUUCUUUGUUUCCCAUGUGCAAUUGAGAUUAACUGAUAUUUUUGACGGAAAACACGACAGAGUGGCAUGGUUAUAAUUUCCCUAAAUUCCGAUAUCGUGAAUAGUAAUAGUAUUUAUCUAAGAUGGCAUAUUUGUAGUGACAUGGAUCCAUCUAAUAACCCUUAAAUUUAAGACUUAAAAAGCCCAUAACAAAUUUUGGCCUUCAAUAGCCCAUAACUAAUUUGGGCUUUGUAAGCCCAUCAUUGGUUUGCUUUGGUCCUUUCGGCCUACCUGGCCCAUGUGUAGAUAUGGGCUUGGUCGGCCCAUGAGAGGGAUUGUUGCUUCUGCUUCACUAGGUUGGACCUAGUUUGCUGCUGCCUGGGCGCGUCAGGGUCGCGCUCGCGCCGCCGCCGGCGUGGCCGCCGGAUCUCCGACGAGCGCCGCGGCGGAGAUCGACCUCCUCUUGCUCACGGUGAUCCUCUCGACGAAGACGACAAGCGUGGCUUUCCUUUCCUGACAGUGUCAGGUAUCAUCACUGUAUCAGUUGGAGAGGUUCUUGGCUCAAUCUCUUCUCCUCUCCUCCUUGCUUUGAUAAGCCGCGAUUCCCUGCUCCUGCUGUUAGAUUACAGUGAGAAACCUCAACUUUUUUUUUUGUUUUUUUGCUCUAGUGUGGUUUCAGAUCUGCAGGAGCUCUGUCAUUGUCACGCAGAAUUGUUCAUAGUUUCAGAAAUGUGGGAUCAUCUGGGUAGCAGCGAGAUAUUCCGGCCCGGACGAGCAGCUGCAAUGAUCGAGCCCAUCUGACUGCCACCGCCACUGAUGAUGUUGUCCCCUCAUUACACUGUACCUUCUAUAGUACUAAUGUGUGUGUGCACACGGUCGCGAUCAAUCAUCCCUCGAUACAGUCCGUAGAGGAUUCUAAUCUAUCGAGAGGAUGUCCGCCUCGACUCUCCUUGUAAUUGACAACGCGCCAUUGUCAUCAGGCUCCUUGCUGACAUGGCGCGUGGACUGGCGCCAGCGUGUCUGCCACCGAAGCCAUUGAGUGUGCCACGUAGGAUCAUUGCAUUCUUUGGUGAAAUCCUCCUGGCACAGUGUGAUGCUACUGCAGCAUGACUGAUUGCCUGGCUGCUCCUAGCUGUCUGGGUAAUUCUGAAGCAGCUUGGCCUGUUUGCUACGUGCCUGGUAUGUUGUUUUUGGGUGUCGCAUUUUCCUCGCACGGUUGGCUGCAGUGCAAGAAUUGUAAUGUUGUGGUGCCACUGCGAGGAAAAGAAGAGGAAAAAAGGAUGAACAGAAACGGUUAUGGAUUGUUCAAACUGACAGUGAUAGUUUUCAGACUUUCAGGUCCUUCUCCGGUUUGUGCUGUCGUUGGCAUCACCGUCCUUGCUGUCGUGUGGAUUGUACGAUGGUGAAAAUGGAAAGGAAUUACAGUGAUCUUCCAUGGUGAAAACGAAAACAGAAUUAUACACGGCAAUCUUCUGAAGGAAUCACGGUGUGAUCUUCACUUCUGAAUUCAGAGGCAAGAAACAAACAGGCUGCCACCGACAGGCUCAAGAACACUGUGCCACUGUCCAUUGGCAACACUGGUGACUGCUCAUUGCUCCAGUUGUGUUCAUGGUCCAUGCCAAUCAGAUCGAGGUGCUACGUUUCUUCUCAACUACUCUACUUCAUCUGCACCAAGUGGCGAUUGUUAGGACACUAUUAUGAGAGGAUUUAUGAGGGUGAGUGUUCUUUGCUGUUCAUCUCGAGAGCCUCCACACUGAAGCCUGAAUCCUUGCAAGCAGCUAGCACUGCACUUGUUCACUGAACUGUUACAACUGUCCGCCUUCAAGAAAGCCUGGAGCACUGGUCCUUGAUCAUGAGAUUGCUGAUGGCAUUCAGACGAGGGAGAUCUCUAGCUAUUGAACUGAUUAGAUAUCUGCAUUCAAUUCCAUCAAAUAUUGUGCAGGCUGUCGAAGCAAAUGCGGCACACUGUUGCUGCUACUGAAUCGGUUGCCACAUUAAUCUCUUCUUCUGACCAUCGGAUCACCAACAUUAAUCUCAUCUUCUGACCAUUGAUCUUACCUUAACUUCCGUUGUUUGAAUUCAAACUGUACUGCCUUCGUUCAAAAAGGAAUUCAAACUGUACUACUGUCAUAACAAUGACCGGCAAUUCGCUGAGAUGGAAGUCGCCGAGGUGAGCGUGCACUUUUUUUCUCGUUCUUUUAAGCAAUUAUGUAGUAACCUAGAUUCAGAUCAGCAGUUUACCAGAGUUAUUAUAUCUCCAGUUCCCAUCAUGAUUUGAGUAUGUGACUGCAUGUGCUGGUUAAUUACUACUACUUCGCACGGUACUACGACAAGCCGUGCUAUGCGCCUAUGUAUCCGCACAAACACCUUCUGGUCAUACCAAAGCCUCUUGUUAACCAACAGUAUUAAUUGUAAUUAUGGGCAUUCCUAGUACACAAUGAAUAAUUCAGUGGUACACAAUGGAAAAGCUGAAGCUAUAAAGAUGAACAAAAUGAUAUAAGCAUUUCAGUGGUCAGCAAGCACACAGUCUGGCCAGGUUAAAUCCUAGUUAGUGCUCUGCAUGAAAGAUGUUAGGCAAGGGAACAAGCAUGCCAUCCUACCUCAGAGAAAAGGAGGGGAGCAUGCCAUGAAGGAAUAGUUGCCAGCCAGCCAGCCAGCCAGCCAGCCAUUGUGACCAUGAAAAGAAGUGUAAACUUCCUAUUCUAAAGAACAAAGGAAUAGAAUGGCAAAUAGAGGCUAGGUGUGCACUAACAUCUAAGCCAUUGAUUUC